rnacentral:rRNA from 1 species
UUAAGCUAAGAAGAGCGUAGGGAGAAUGCCUUGGCAUUAGGAGCCGAUGAAGGACGUGAUAAGCUGCGAUAAGCUGCGGGGAUCAGCAAGUAUGAAUUGAUCCGCAGAUUUCCGAAUGGAGCAAUCCGUAUGUGUAUGCACAUACAUCAUAUACUGAAUCAAAUAGGUAUAUGAGGGGAACCGCCUGAACUGAAACAUCUAAGUAGGGCGAGGAAGAGAAAUCAACCGAGAUUCUGUGAGUAGUGGCGAGCGAAAGCGGAAGAGGCUAAACCAUAGGUAGCAAUACUUAUGGGGUUUCGGACAGCAUUUAGUAUUGAUAAUUUCUAGUUGAAACGUGUGGGAAAACGUACCGAAGAGUGUGAGAGUCACGUAAGCGAAAGAGAAAGUCAGCGAGCUGUAUCCAAAGUACCGCGGGACACGUGAAACCCCGUGGGAAGAUGGGGGGACCAUCCUCCAAGCCUAAAUACUACCUAAUGACCGAUAGCGAAUAGUACUGUGAAGGAACGGUGAAAAGAACCCCGGGAGGGGAGUGAAAAAGAACCUGAAACCCUAUGCUUACAAGCACCGAGAGCACGUCAAAGUGUGAUCGGGUACCUUUUGUAGAAUGGUCCGGCGAGUUAUUGUAUGCGGCAAGGUUAAGUGCUUAAGGCACGGAGCCGAAGCGAGAGCAAGUCUGAAUAGGGCGAGUAAGUCGUAUGCAAUAGACCCGAAACCGAGUGACCUAUCCAUGUCCAGGCUGAAGUGGAGGUAAAACUCCAUGGAGGGCCGAACACACGUCCGUUGAAAAGGCCGGUGAUGAGGUGUGGAUAGCGGAGAAAUUCCAAUCGAACUCGGAUAUAGCUGGUUCUCUCCGAAAUAGCUUUAGGGCUAGCCUCGUGAAAGAUUACUGGAGGUAAAGCACUGAAUGGGCUAGGGGUCGAAAGAUUACUGAACCCUAUCAAACUAAGAAUGCCAGAUAAUUGAUUCACGGGAGUCAGACAAUGUGAGAUAAGUCUCAUUGUCAAAAGGGAAACAGCCCAGACCCACAGCUAAGGUCCCUAAACAUUGUUAAGUGGAAAAGGAUGUGGGGUUGCAUAAACAACCAGGAUGUUGGCUUAGAAGCAGCCACUCAUUAAAAGAGUGCGUAAUAGCUCACUGGUCGAGUGACCCUGCGCCGAAAAUUCAACGGGGCUAAACAAUGUACCGAAGCUUGGGAUUCUAGAUUUAUCUAGAGUGGUAGGAGAGCGUCGAAUAAGGGGUGAAGUCAGAGCGGAAGCGCUGGUGGACUUUAUUCGAGUGAGAAUGCCGGAAUGAGUAGCGAGAAUUAUGUGAGAAUCAUAAUGGCCGAAAAUCUAAGGUUUCCUGAGGAAGGUUCGUCCGCUCAGGGUAAGCCGGGGGCUAAGGCGAGGCGGAGACGCGUAGCCGAUGCACAUACGGUUGAAAUUCCGUAGCCACCGAAAGAUUUAAGUACAGGGACGCUUUAGAAGUGAUGUUGCCGGGCGAUGGUUGACCCGGUCGUAAGGGAUCGAAAAUGAGUAGAGAAGUCAUCAUGGAAAGAGACAAGAAAAGCUGUAUGGAUAUCUUAGGUGCCCGUACCGCAAACCGACACAGGUAGAUAGGAAGAAGAUUCUAAGGCCAACGGGAGAAGGGUUGUUAAGGAACUCGGCAAGUUGACCCCGUAACUUAGGGAUAAGGGGUGCUCAAGUGAUUGAGCCGCAGAGAAUAGGCCCAGGCGACUGUUUAGCAAAAACACAGGUCUCUGCUAAAUCGAAAGAUGACGUAUAGGGGCUGACACCUGCCCGGUGCCGGAAGGUUAAGAGGAGAUGUGAGAGCAUUGAAUUGAAGCCCCGGUAAACGGCGGCCGUAACUAUAACGGUCCUAAGGUAGCGAAAUUCCUUGUCAGGU